rnacentral:lncRNA from 10 species
GUAAGCAGCAGCUCCCCCCACACACGGCCCUCCCCACACACACACACCCGGCGGCUCCCCCCACCACACGGUGACUCCCCCUCACACAGCAGCUCCCCCCACACACGGCCCUCCCCCCACACACACACACCCGGCGGCUCCCCCCACCACACGGUGACUCCCCCUCACACAGCAGCUCCCCCCACACACGGCCCUCCCCCCACACACACCUGGCGGCUCCCCCCACCACACGGUGACUCCCCCUCACACAGCAGCUCCCCCCACACACGGCCCUCCCCACACACACACACCCGGCGGCUCCCCCCACCACACGGUGACUCCCCCUCACACAGCAGCUCCCCCCACACACGGCCCUCCCCACACACACACACCCGGCGGCUCCCCCCACCACACGGUGACUCCCCCUCACACAGCAGCUCCCCCCACACACGGCCCUCCCCACACACACACACCUGGCGGCUCCCCCCACCACACGGUGACUCCCCCUCACACAGCAGCUCCCCCCACACACGGCCCUCCCCACACACACACACCCGGCGGCUCCCCCCACCACACGGUGACUCCCCCUCACACAGCAGCUCCCCCCACACACGGCCCUCCCCCCACACACACACCCGGCGGCUCCCCCCACCACACGGUGACUCCCCCUCACACAGCAGCUCCCCCCACACACGGCCCUCCCCCCACACACACACCCGGCGGCUCCCCCACACAGAGCUGGGAGGCUCCAGUACUCUCGGAGCUUGGCUGGGGCUCCUGGGGAGGGCCGUGGCUCCUCCUCACCCGCUGGGGAGCCAGGAGUUCCGUGAGUGGUUGAAGCCCUGCUGGGAGGGUUGGGCGUUUCCAGCCAUUCUCACACGGCUUCUCAGCCGGGGUCUCCCACCCCGGCCCUGGCCCUGGGCCUGCCCUCACUGCCUCCUCCCCAUCCCCUACCCCUAGAGGCCUCCUGCCCUGGUCACCUACGCGUCACCUAAGCCCCGAGGCCAGGCGGCUUCUUGUCUACUAAAGACUUCCGGAGAGAGGCAUUCACCCUGUGGUCAGAGCUGGGGUUUCCAUGGAGGAGCACCACAGCCAUAAAGAAAGGCUGGUGAGCCCCAGAGCGGAGGACCCUGCCGAGCUGUUUCCAGACUCCUGAUCCACAGAAACCGUGAGAGGAUAACAUUGUUCUGCUUGAAGCCACUACACCUGCCGUCACUUGUCUCGCAUCAUUAGGGAACCAACGUGCUCUGGAAGACAGCAACUCUCAGGGUCCAUUCCGCUGACACCAGCGCCUCAGAUGACACAGGACGUGGCAUGGUGGCUAUUGACUCAUCAAGGGAACAGCAAUGAACAGGGUGCCUGCUCGCUCAUCACACAGGUUGGAUAAGAUCGACAGGAAAAACCCCUCCAACAGCACAGCAGAGCAGCACAGAGCCCUGCCUCUCUCCAGCUGGGGAAGUCGGGAGCUGAAGUGGAAAGCUGGUUGAAGAACAAUGUGAAAAAAAUGAGGCCUGACUCAAUUCCUAAAAGCGGCUGCCUGACCUUAUGCAAGCCACAGCUUCUAUUUACAAACCCAGGAAACUGGACAAAAUACUGAAAGGAUCCCCUAAGAUAAUGAGAGUUAACAACAGAUGCAAAGCAAGGUUCUGUGGAAAUGUAAGGUCGUGUUACCACGCAGGGCUGAAAAGCUUUCCUGACUACUUUCUGAUUUGCGUAUACUAAGGACUAUUUCAAGAGGGUGACAUUUUAUGAAUUAAAGGCAUGCCACUUCCAUUCACAGUGCUGUUCUGAGAGAUUCGAUUCUGUCCUUGACAAUCUAAGAAAAUCUUAACUCUGCAUUAUGUAAAUACUAAGGACACGGGGUGUUUCGAAUGAGACCAACCUCGUAUCUCUCUCAACUCCCUCUCCUCCCGGGGCCACCCUUUUCUUUAAUUGAAAGCACAAUAAACUUAAUCAGCUGCUCCUAACGAUGCCUGCCCCAGCCUGGGAGAUUCAGCAAGGCUUGGGGCGUGCAUGACAAAGAAACACACACUCCAGAAUCUCACUUUUGUUAUUCCCCAGCCAUCUUUUGUUAUGUGGCAUGGGAAAAAUCUUAAUGAGCCUGCCCUGCUGCUGCAGAAAUUCUUGUCAGAUGAAAAGCAGCCCCUCCUUCCACCUGGCAAGGGCUUACAGAGAACACAGCAGCCCACAUCUACUCACGUUUCCUGAAACAAUCCCCUAUUUAACUUCCUAGGCAACAGAAAAUCUGAAGAAAAUGAGAUACCACAGAAGAUGAAUUUGAUGUAACAAAAAGGUGUUUUAAAAAGAUAAGUAGAGAGGCCAUCCUACAAAAUUUCAUGGCUGACAAUGGUAAAAAAGAUGCAGAAAAGGACCAUCUGGCCUGAAAAAUUCAGCCGGGGUCGGGGGAGGGGGUCCCGCAGCAGAGGCCAGGCCUUCAAGGAUGGGGAUCCUCUUCUGUCUUCCUUUUCUCAAAAUGUUUGUUGGAUGAUGGACUUAAUUUUAAAACCCCAAGUCACUGCGGUUUAGCCAGCUAUGGAUGAUGAAAGCACUACAAUCAUUGAAACUGACAAGGAGGCAGUUUCCUUCAAAAAUACGAAAACUGUACGCAGAGUACAUGGAGAAAAAUGUGACACAAGCAUUUGGACACACUACUAAACAACAACAUGGGACAAUAUAGACAACAAUUGGAAAUACACUUUGAGGAGGUAAAAAGUUCAGUAUUCACUGGCUUCCUUUUGGAGGUUGUUAAAUUGCUGAAAUUCAAAUAAAAGUCAUUGAGCCAUUGUGUCUGUCAGCUGUGCCUCUAUCUCACCCCCGGGUGGGUGGAGGUCCCCCUGGCUUUAUUCUCUGUGUUGUUGCUGCAGAUCCAGAUUCAGGAUUCCGCCCUGAAGGUCUGCGUUCCCUCCCGAGACAGCCUCUGUUUCAAAAUGCACAGCCAUUCUUGACAGACAAGAAAGGGAUGUUGAAAAACAAGUCAUGCUUUGGAUUCGUGUGGCUUUGAGAUACAGAACGAAUGAAUUAUUUCCUGCCUGGCCCAGAACACUUUGCCUCGGUACAGGAGUGUCAAGGCAGAGUGGGUGGGGAAGAUGAAGGGUGAGGGAAGCAAUUGCAAUUAAAAUCCAUAAGGAGCCGGAGAAGGUGGUGCUCAUAGAUGGAUCCCCUAACUGAGUUUAGAGGGCACAGGAGGAGGCGAAGGGAAGCAGUCUUUCAUAUAUGUGACUUAGGAAAUAUAUAAGGAUUGUGUAUUUUACGGCACUUAUGAGAUGGGAUAAUUCCUUGACUCUUUCAUGGGUAGGAACUGGAGUGCACCUCUGGGUCCAGUUGGCCACUUCAGCACUAGCAGGGACGAACUUCAAUCACUUGAACCUGCUGGACUCAACCCCUCAUGGGAGGGAGCACAUAGGCGAGUGGGUGCUGGGACCCUGGCAAGGGC